rnacentral:misc_RNA from 1 species
CCGAGUGAGGGUCUCCGGGCCCGACCUCCAACCCCAUGUAAUCCGACUCUGUUGCCUCGGGGGCGACCCUGCCUUCGGGCGUGGGGCCCCCGGUGGACCACUCAACUCUGCAUCUAUGCGUCUGAGUAACGAUGAAAAUCAAUCA